AUGGUACCGUAACUUCGGGAGAAGGUACGCUCUUGAUGGUGAAGUCCCUUGCGGAUGGAGCUGACGAGAGUCGCAGAUACCAGGUGGCUGCAACUGUUUAUUAAAAACACAGCACUGUGCAAAAUCGUAAGAUGACGUAUACGGUGUGACGCCUGCCCGGUGCCGGAAGGUUAAUUGAUGGGGUUAGACUUCGGUCGAAGCUCUUGAUCGAAGCCCCGGUAAACGGCGGCCGUAACUAUAACGGUCCUAAGGUAGCGAAAUUCCUUGUCGGGUAAGUUCCGACCUGCACGAAUGGCGUAAUGAUGGCCACGCUGUCUCCACCCGAGACUCAGUGAAAUUGAAAUCGCUGUGAAGAUGCAGUGUACCCGCGGCUAGACGGAAAGACCCCGUGAACCUUUACUACAGCUUGGCACUGAACAUUGACCCUACAUGUGUAGGAUAGGUGGGAGGCUUUGAAGCACGUACGCCAGUAUGUGUGGAGCCGUCCUUGAAAUACCACCCUUGUAGUGUUGAUGUUCUAACGUCGACCCCUGAUCGGGGUUGCGGACAGUGCCUGGUGGGUAGUUUGACUGGGGCGGUCUCCUCCCAAAGAGUAACGGAGGAGCACGAAGGUGGGCUAAUCACGGUUGGACAUCGUGAGGUUAGUGCAAUGGCAUAAGCCCGCUUGACUGCGAGAAUGACAAUUCGAGCAGGUGCGAAAGCAGGUCAUAGUGAUCCGGUGGUUCUGAAUGGAAGGGCCAUCGCUCAACGGAUAAAAGGUACUCCGGGGAUAACAGGCUGAUACCGCCCAAGAGUUCAUAUCGACGGCGGUGUUUGGCACCUCGAUGUCGGCUCAUCACAUCCUGGGGCUGAAGUCGGUCCCAAGGGUAUGGCUGUUCGCCAUUUAAAGUGGUACGCGAGCUGGGUUUAGAACGUCGUGAGACAGUUCGGUCCCUAUCUGCCGUGGGCGUUGGAAGAUUGAAGGGGGCUGCUCCUAGUACGAGAGGACCGGAGUGGACGAACCUCUGGUGUUCGGGUUGUGUCGCCAGACGCAUUGCCCGGUAGCUAAGUUCGGAAUCGAUAACCGCUGAAAGCAUCUAAGCGGGAAGCGAGCCCUGAGAUGAGUCUUCCCUGAUACUUUAAGUAUCCUAAAGGGUUGUCGGAGACUACGACGUUGAUAGGUCAGGUGUGUAAGUGCUGUGAGGCAUUGAGCUAACUGAUACUAAUUGCCCGUGAGGCUUAACCAUACAACACCCAAGGGGUUU
rnacentral:rRNA from 1 species